AAAAAGCUUGUAACAACAAUCUAUGGAAAUCUCAGUCUUACUAGAAGUAAACAUUUUGUUGUACACUUGUUUUCCACAUUGUUCUCCCACGUGGUUUGCACAUUGAUGCAAAAAACUAAUAUCAUUACUUUGAGAUGAAGCUAUUGUUGUUGUACAAAUGGAAGCAACCGAAAUAAGAAAAAAGCCAAGUCUUUCCAUGAGAAUUUAG
rnacentral:lncRNA from 1 species